rnacentral:rRNA from 1 species
UACAGAGGGGGCAAGCGUUAUUCGGAAUUAUUGGGCGUAAAGGGCGCGUAGGCGGUUUCUUAAGUCGGAUGUGCAAUCCCCGGGCUCAACCCGGGAACUGCAUCCGAGACUGGGAGGCUAGAGUACUGGAGAGGUUGGUGGAAUUCCUCGUGUAGCGGUGAAAUGCGUAGAGAUGAGGAGGAACACCAGUGGCGAAGGCGGCCAACUGGACAGUAACUGACGCUGAGGCGCGAAAGCGUGGGUAG